CAAGUGGCUGGUGCGGUGGCUCACGCCUGUCAUCUCAGCACUUUGGAAGCUCCCUCUCCUGCACAAGACCUGUAGGGCUUGGCAUCUGUGAGCACUCCACCCAGCAGCUGCAAUGAUGCUGUCCCAUAGAGGACACUCAGUAAUGCAGUGUCUGCAUCGAUGACUACAGAACCCAGAAACCUGCUUGCCUGUCCCCUGUAUUGGUGAGUUCCAUUCCUAUGGGUGGUUUAGGGCAUUAAAGAACUUUGACUAAUUCCUCUAGUU
rnacentral:lncRNA from 13 species